rnacentral:misc_RNA from 1 species
AAGUCGUAACAAGGUUUCCGUAGGUGAACCUGCGGAAGGAUCAUUAUCAACGUUAUCCACGUAUAAACCAAUUAUCGUGAACUGUCACAUUCUUUUUCUUAUUAACUACCUCGAAAAUCCUUAGCGAUUUGACAGAGUUAAUUUCUUAUGAUUAUCGGAACUGAUUAUAUGGAAACAAUCCUUUUUUGCUUUAAUCGGCGAAAGAGAUGUUUCUUUCAUUUUACGAAAUUAUUCGAACAACUCUUAGCAACGGAUAUCUUGGUUCUC